AAUGAACGCUGGCGGCAGGCCUAAAACAUGCAAGUCGAACGCCUGUAGCAAUACAGGAGUGGCGCACGGGUGCGUAACACGUGGGAAUAUGCCUAUUGGUACGGAACAGCUCCGGGAAACUGGAAUUAAUACCAUAUGGUCCCUUCGGGGUAAAGAUUUAUCGCCAAUAGAUUAGCCCGCGGUGGAUUAGCUAGUUGGUAGGGUAAUGGCCUACCAAGGCGACGAUCCAUAGCUGGUCUGAGAGGACGAUCAGCCACACUGGGACUGAGACACGGCCCAGACUCCUACGGUAGGCAGCAGUUAGGAAUGUUGGACAAUGGGCGGAAGCCUGAUCCAGCCAUGCCGCGUGAGUGAUGAAGGCCUUCGGGUUGUAAAACUCUUUAGCCGAUGAAUAUAAUGACUGUAGUCGGAAAAUAAGCCCCGGCUAACUUCGUGCCAGCCGCCGCGGUAA
rnacentral:rRNA from 1 species